UGUGGGGCAGUAAGAUGCUCUUUUGUGCUAGAAGCUGCAUAUCUCUGAUAACCGAAGCUCACACCUCAGGGAGGUUCAAGUGAUUUUAUAUUCACUAUGCAUCAUUUUAGAAAUGCACCUCUAACUUUAUUCUUUUUGCCUCUCUCUGCUGUCUCUCCUAGCAUUAAGUCAGGAGUCUGGCUUACAGCUGGCUUAGCAUUGUUAUAAUUCUGAUUGGUCUGACUGUGCCUGUGUGCAUUUUAAGUUGUAUUAAGGUAAUUAGCGAUACAGGUGCAGUUUGCCAGCCAGUGGGAAUGCCUCUGUAUCAGUCUGGAGUAAAAUGUAGUGUGUAUCUCUAUGUCUCACGUCCCUAGAAGAGGGGCCGUGCCGGUCUGGCUGCACAGGGACAGCAAGAUCAGUGCCAGCUCGCUGCCUCCGCGAGGCCUGGAGGAUUUGGCAUCGUUUGCAUCUGCACUCUGAUGUCCACGCCAUGGCAGAGCCGCUCUGCAGCAGCAAAAAUAAGGACGGGCUCAGGCCUGCUGCCAUCGAAGGGCCCAUCUGUUGCAGAAAGGAAUCCUGUGUUUGAAUUAGUUUGUGAAUUGGAAUAUUGGCGUCCUAGGUGAACAUGCAUGCUUGGAAUAUAACUUUGGUUAGAGCUGACAGAUUUCAGAGGAGAUGGAAUAUCCUGUGUCAGAUCAUGUACAUGGCUCAGAGCUGCAGGACUUUGUGAGCUUCUCCAGGGGAGAGGUUUACAUCACUAGAGUUCUCACCUAUAAGCUGGGGGCUUGUCCAGGCACAGGACCCAGCUGCUUUUCGGGAGAGGAAAAUAAUCAGCCUUGUUUACGAGCUGAGAGGUUGGACUGGAGAUUGCAGAGGGUUCUUACCACCAGCACUUCUCUGUUUUUGUGGUAACCGAGGCAAAAUUGAAAAGCUGAGCUUCAGGUCUGUGUUUGUGGAACAAGAUGGAAGAAGGCCCAGCUUUCCUGAAUACACAGGAAGAGUAAAUAAAUGUGAUUAAGAUAGGCAGGUUCAGAGGAGAAAUUUGUCUUGAAAAGUUUUCCUUAUUUUGGGUUGUUAGCAAGGAGACCCACCAGUUCUGCUUGUUAUAAGUGGCUUGGAAAGAUGAUGCUUGGCCAUGGGUAGGAUUUGGGAUCUUGGCAAGUCAUUUCCCCCCUCCCCCACAUUUCUUCUGUUUGACUCUCAUCUGCAAACAUAUUGGGGCAGCCACUGCCUUUCAUACGGUUGCUCACAGCAUAGAACAGCAGAGCCCUAAUGUCAGGUGAACCCUCAGAGCCUCACAGACAUAUUUGAGCUCCUGUACUUGAUGUGAUCAGAAAUGGCAUUAUUGAUGGCUUGUGUAAGUUGCUCUCUUUGAGGGGGAGGUCUGGUGGCUGCAACCAACACAACCAGACAGGAAAAAAGCUUUUGAAAACUUCCCACCAAGCAGCUAUAUGCUCCAAGUGCAAAUCUUGAAGGUCUAGAAAUAAGGCCUUCCUUAGCUCCUUAGUUUACUGUGGC